AGUUUGAUCCUGGCUCAGAAUGAACGCUGGCGGCAGGCCUAACACAUGCAAGUCGAACGGACAUCUUCGGAUGUUAGUGGCGGACGGGUGAGUAACGCGUGGGAACAUACCCUUUGGUUCAGAAUAGCCCCGGGAAACUGGGAGUAAUACUGGAUGUGGUCGCAAGACGAAAGAUUUAUCGCCAAAGGAUUGGCCCGCGUUGGAUUAGGUAGUUGGUGGGGUAAUGGCCUACCAAGCCGACGAUCCAUAGCUGGUUUGAGAGGAUGAUCAGCCACACUGGGACUGAGACACGGCCCAGACUCCUACGGGAGGCAGCAGUGGGGAAUCUUAGACAAUGGGGGAAACCCUGAUCUAGCCAUGCCGCGUGAUCGAUGAAGGCCUUAGGGUUGUAAAGAUCUUUCAGUUGGGAAGAUAAUGACGGUACCAACAGAAGAAGCCCCGGCUAACUCCGUGCCAGCAGCCGCGGUAAUACGGAGGGGGCUAGCGUUAUUCGGAAUUACUGGGCGUAAAGCGCACGUAGGCGGACUGGAAAGUCAGAGGUGAAAGCCCAGGGCUCAACCUUGGAACUGCCUUUGAAACUCCCAGUCUUGAGGUCGAGAGAGGUAAGUGGAAUUCCGAGUGUAG
rnacentral:rRNA from 1 species